GCGGGACACGUGGUAUCCUGUCUGAAUAUGGGGGGACCAUCCUCCAAGGCUAAAUACUCCUGACUGACCGAUAGUGAACCAGUACCGUGAGGGAAAGGCGAAAAGAACCCCGGCGAGGGGAGUGAAAAAGAACCUGAAACCGUGUACGUACAAGCAGUGGGAGCCUCUUAAUGGGGUGACUGCGUACCUUUUGUAUAAUGGGUCAGCGACUUAUAUUCUGUAGCAAGGUUAACCGAAUAGGGGAGCCGAAGGGAAACCGAGUCUUAACUGGGCGCUAAGUUGCAGGGUAUAGACCCGAAACCCGGUGAUCUAGCCAUGGGCAGGUUGAAGGUUGGGUAACACUAACUGGAGGACCGAACCGACUAAUGUUGAAAAAUUAGCGGAUGACUUGUGGCUGGGGGUGAAAGGCCAAUCAAACCGGGAGAUAGCUGGUUCUCCCCGAAAGCUAUUUAGGUAGCGCCUCGUGAAUUCAUCUCCGGGGGUAGAGCACUGUUUCGGCAAGGGGGUCAUCCCGACUUACCAACCCGAUGCAAACUGCGAAUACCGGAGAAUGUUAUCACGGGAGACACACGGCGGGUGCUAACGUCCGUCGUGAAGAGGGAAACAACCCAGACCGCCAGCUAAGGUCCCAAAGUCAUGGUUAAGUGGGAAACGAUGUGGGAAGGCCCAGACAGCCAGGAUGUUGGCUUAGAAGCAGCCAUCAUUUAAAGAAAGCGUAAUAGCUCACUGGUCGAGUCGGCCUGCGCGGAAGAUGUAACGGGGCUAAACCAUGCACCGAAGCUGCGGCAGCGACACUAUGUGUUGUUGGGUAGGGGAGCGUUCUGUAAGCCUGUGAAGGUGGCCUGUGAGGGUUGCUGGAGGUAUCAGAAGUGCGAAUGCUGACAUAAGUAACGAUAAAGCGGGUGAAAAGCCCGCUCGCCGGAAGACCAAGGGUUCCUGUCCAACGUUAAUCGGGGCAGGGUGAGUCGACCCCUAAGGCGAGGCCGAAAGGCGUAGUCGAUGGGAAACAGGUUAAUAUUCCUGUACUUGGUGUUACUGCGAAGGGGGGACGGAGAAGGCUAUGUUGGCCGGGCGACGGUUGUCCCGGUUUAAGCGUGUAGGCUGGUUUUCCAGGCAAAUCCGGAAAACCAAGGCUGAGGCGUGAUGACGAGGCACUACGGUGCUGAAGCGACAAAUGCCCUGCUUCCAGGAAAAGCCUCUAAGCAUCAGGUAACAUCAAAUCGUACCCCAAACCGACACAGGUGGUCAGGUAGAGAAUACCAAGGCGCUUGAGAGAACUCGGGUGAAGGAACUAGGCAAAAUGGUGCCGUAACUUCGGGAGAAGGCACGCUGAUAUGUAGGUGAAGCGACUUGCUCGUGGAGCUGAAAUCAGUCGAAGAUACCAGCUGGCUGCAACUGUUUAUUAAAAACACAGCACUGUGCAAACACGAAAGUGGACGUAUACGGUGUGACGCCUGCCCGGUGCCGGAAG
rnacentral:rRNA from 1 species